AACAAUAAGAAAAAGAAAAAUUGAAGCAUGAGAGAUGAGCACUGCUGUCAAGUCCCCACAGCUGCCACCGAAACGCGUGUGCUGCAUUCCAUCAUCCCUUGCAUUCAAAAUGCUACUGAUGCAUAGCACCUAAUCAAGUCCCCAGGCUGCAGUUCCACUCCUGAGGAAGCUACGUCACCUCCAUCGCUACUGUGUUGUCUGCUAUGUUGUUUAGUGCUGGCUUUUCUGAUUCAUGAUUUUCUCUGUUGAAAUAAAGUUUAAUUAAAUUACUUAUCUGCAACAAAUUUAACAAAUCAAGACUAUCUCCCCAGUAAAAAAAUUAUGAAGUAUUUUUAGUAAUAGGAAGAAAUGUGACACUUUUGGGAUAAGACACAAGUAGAGGAGUAUGAACCUUUAUAGUUUAUUAUCAGGAAUAUACAACCAAAAGUCAGGCUUCUUCUGUCCACCAUAAAUUCCAUGGUCAACUAUAUCACCAAUAAAAUCGUAGUGGCAGCCAAGCAACCCAGAUGUUAGAAAACAUAAAGAAUUCCUAACUUUUAGUCUCUAAUUUCACUUUCCUCCUCUUUCAAAAAAGGAACAAAUGUGAACAAAAGUCAUUCAAGUCAGGACUUUUGUCAGUGUUCUGUAUGUGCAGUUGAGUAGCAGAGCUACUGAGCUGGUAAUGAGAAGACCAGGGUCACCGUUGUUCUAACACCUGAAUGUGCUUGUAGUAAUCAGCUUCUCUGGAUCUCAUUUCCCUCAUUUUUAAAAUGAAGGGACUAAAAUAAGUGAUAUGAAAGUUUACCAUACACUGCCAGUGUUUCAUGGUUAUAUAAUUCUGUAACAGUGAAAACCAUGUAUUAUAUAUUUAGGUAAGAACUCUAAUUGAUUGAUUAGUUAUGACUAGACCCAGAAUAAUAAUAAGAAUGGAUCUGAAUGGAGCAGACAAUAACUAUUACUUAAAUUGAGAAGCAGACAGGGAUGCAUGGGUUUGGAAACUUAAGGCUAUAUAGUCUGUUGCUACAAAGCCUGCUCUUCCCUCUUGGGCCACGCUUGGCCGAGGAAGUCUACCUAUCAGUCUAGCAUCCAAGGUGUUCUAAAGUGUGCCCACCUCCUACCGCUUCAACUUGAACUACUAACCUUCCCAAACCUCUAGACAAAUUAGUUUAGUUGUUAGCUUCUGAACACAUUUGUAUUUCUCCAACUCUCUCAUCCUCUUCUCUGCCCAGCUAAGAACAAAUCUGAUCUUAUUUUGUAGAACUCUCCCAGAAUACCCCUGGUGUGAAAAGAUCACUCCUUAUAUUGAAAUUAUAGUCAUAAUUUACACAAUUAAUCUGACAAGGCUAUAAUGCUUUGUGAUACAAGAAUGACUUCCACCUAUUACUCACAAUUAACAGCAUUUAAUUUUUACACUUUUAUGCUUGUCUUUUAACUAAACUGAAAACCCCUGGUCUUUCUCGUUUCCCCCAGAGUACUUUGUAAAUGGUAAGAUUCUAAUUACCAUUAAUAUUUAAAACAGAAAAGAACCUGAACAAACAUUCUAAACAAUCUACUGAAACUCAAGAUGACAAAUUAGCAUAAAAAAUAAUGGUUUGAAUAAAAGUUGACCUGGCAUUAAUACUGUAAGCCUUUACAUUAUUUACAUUAUUAACAGCAGCUUAGCAUACAAGCCACAGUGGGUUCUAUUAAUUCUUUACACAAGAAGCUGCGGAAGAAAACAAAAGAAACAUUCUAAAGAGAACUCCCUCCAUGCAAAGGUAGAAAAACAAGAACAUUAUAAGCUAUUAUUAUACUAAGGAAGUGACAUCCAAAGCAUAUAUGCAAUACUCAGUAUACCAUUUAGUUCAAAUUGUUAACAGUACUGAAUUAUAAAAAUCAUCUGUUUAAGUCUUGACUAAAUAAGGAAUUCUCAUCUAUACUUUUUUUUAAGUUUAUUUUGAGAGAGAGAGGGAGAGAGAGAGAGAGCGCGCGUAUGUGUGUGUGUGCGUGCUGGGGAGGGGCAGAGAAUCCCAAGCAGGCUCCGUACUGUCAGUGCAGAGCCUUAUGUGGGGCUGGAUCCCACGACCUCAAGAUCAUGACCUGAGCCACUAUCAAGAGUUUAGACGCUAAACCGACUGAGAGACCCAGAUGCCCCUAUACAUUUUUAAUGUAUAUAAGGAAAGAGCAAAAAACACCAAUAAGUAGAGAGCACUGCUAGAGGAUUUAAGUUAGGGCUCAUAUUUUUCAAACAUUUUAGGCUUAAAAUAACUACUGACCUUGGAACUGAAUCUACAGAAGAUGAAGAUGGAACCUUGGAAACUUGACAGUUUGCUGCGGCAGCCAGCUUUAAGGCAGACGAUGGAACAGCACUUAAAGUCCUAGGUAUAUGUCGUGCAUUUAUGGGGGCAAUAGAGUUUACAGUGGCAACUGAUGAAGGUACAGUUAAUCGAAUGUUGUUCCCAAUCAGAACCUGAGUUGUUGCAGAAUUGGCAGCGGUUACUUGAUGACUCAGUGCACUGUGGGAACUUGAAGUCUGUGUCAUGUUUGAAGGCUGUAACAAAGUUGAACCUGCCGUUGAUGGACUCGUAUGUACAAGUGCUGUUGGUGUAGUACUACUGAGGUGUAAGCCCUUGUAUACUCCUAGAGAAAAAGAAAGAAGCAUCUAAACAAUGUACGACUUUGCUGUUUAUUAGAGAUAUAGGUUACAAAUAUCAGAACAAUUUAAAUGUCUUUAUCCUUACCUGAGGCUGGAAGGACGCCAUUCACCCCAAUUCCAAGCACCACAUCAUCCUUCAUCUUGAAUCCCAUCAGUUGUUCUGAUGUCACCAAAGCAGAAGCAGCAAAUUGAGCACUAGCAGAAUCCAAAGUCUUGGAAACAAAACCCUAAAAAGAAAAUACAAAACAAAUCUAAUCAGCAUCACUUAGUCUCAAAUCAACAUUAAAGUUACACAGGUAUACCAAAAUCAGUUUGAAUAUAAACCAAAGUGGCAAACCACUGAAAUAUCUUCAUCUCUUUUGACAGUCAUAAAUUUGAAGAGUGUUCAAACAAUAUAAGAACGCAGGGAUUAUGAAUUUUGAUCUUCACAUGUGACAGUAUGUAAUAUGGACAAAUCAACCACAAAAAUAAACCUUCUAGAAUGUGGAAACAGUAAACCUCCAACACAAAGUGUCAGACAAGAAAUAUGCUAGUAAAACAUUUCAGUGAUUUGCAAAUACAUAUAAUGAAAAAUGAGUAUGUAAGCUUCUUUUACCUAACUUACAUACACACACACACACACACCCACCCACCCACCCACCCCAAAGGUAUCUUUGGGACAGGAGGAUAACUAUCCUUUUAGAACAGAAGUAACAAAACAUCACAUCAUAACUUGGCCUAGAAAUUAAGAGGCCCUUUGAAUUUUUUUAAAUGAAUUUUCCUCCAAGAUGCUUAGAUUCAAAUUUCAGCCUUCAAGCUUUAAAUGUGUUUCAAUGGCAAACAUUUAUCAUCCUUGAGGUUUAAAAGUGAUUUCAUUUAAUAGUAAAAGAGGUUUAGUAUGUAAUUUAAGAUACAUUUUAAUAAUAAUUAAAAUAACUAAGAAAAUGAGCUGGGUGAGAUCAUAUACUAACAAGGAAAAUUCACAGACUAUAGGACAGACUUGGAAGACAGUGUCUUGAUCGCAUUUAACUAUGUUUUUUAGCUUUACUUUUUAAAAUAGGGAGCAGAGGCAACAGCUUCCAUACUCACCUGUAAUGUUCUUUCUAAACCCUGUAUAGAAUGGCUAUGAUGUAGAUUCAGGCGAAAGCCACUUUUCUGCUGGUUAGAUGCAAGGUUCUAUGACAACAGUUGGUAAUUAGAGAUGAACUCUGGUGGGAAACAAUGAGGGAUAAUCAUAAGACAGACAAAUCCCUCACCUGUGAAGUGGUGGUGGAGGAAUUACUAUUUGCUUGCUGUUGCUGAAUUUGUGCAAGCUGCUGUUUCUGCAUUAGUGCCAGUUGCUGUUGAUGUUGCUGGUAUUGUUCGGCUGUAAAUGCUGAACAUAAAACGAGGAAAUACUUUAUAAAAACACACAGAUACCACACAUAUAUUACAAUACUAAAACAAAUUUCAGCAUUAAGAAAAUUUUUGUGUAAAAUUAAAGCAUUUGACAAAGGCUGAUGAUCCUGCUAAAGAUCACUUCCAUAUGAAAAAUUCAGCAUUUUUACAACCACAUUUAUCAGGAGUGGCUGGAGUUUAAAGAAAAACAAAAUUAUAAACUUCCUGAGUUAUAACAACAUAGGAAAGAGAAAUGCUCACUUCUCAAGUUUCAGAACCAUUAUUUUUAUAAGCUGUGACACUUGUGCUAGACAGUGUAAAAAGGUAAUCCAGCUUUUUAAAUCUACAUAUUUAGAAUUCAACUUGGCAUGGAGCUUGAGAAGAAAUCUGGUAAUUACCAUUUGGUUUCUAGUUUACUCAUAUCACUGUCCCAAUGCAUUCAGAUGAUCCCUAAUAGUUCUGUGUAUAAAUACUAAUUGUUCUACAUAUUUUCUAAUUUUAGCCAUUACAAACAUUCCCUCUAUAUGGAAUAUAAGGUUGUUGGUUUAUUACCUUUUUUUAUUUUAUUUUUUAAAGAACUCAUCCUUUAGCAGGAAGACAAGAGGCUCCAAAUGUUAAGGUUAAUUAAUUUUCCCCACCCAAUUAACCCACCUGGAAAAAAUCCAGUCAAUAAGAACGGAGUUGUUUAUGUUGAUUUACUGUACAGAAUGAUGUCUGAGGAAAGACACUGUGUUAUGCUACUUAUGUUUGUCUAUGGAGAGCUCAGUUCUAAAAAAAACAAACAAAAAAAUGUUCAUUUAUUACCCCCCAAAAAAGUGUGUGCAGUUUUUAAAAAGGAAA
rnacentral:lncRNA from 1 species